rnacentral:rRNA from 1 species
AGCAGCCGCGGUAAUUCCAGCUCCAAUAGCGUAUAUUAAAGUUGUUGCAGUUAAAAAGCUCGUAGUUGAACCUCGGGGUCUACCCAUUGGUCAGGCUUAAUUGUCUGCACUGGUGAGAUGGAUCUCUACCUUCUGAGGAACUUUCAUGCCAUUUAUUUGGUGUGAUGGGAAAUCAGGACUGUUACUUUGAAAAAAUUAGAGUGUUUAAAGCAGACUAUCGUCUGAAUACAUUAGCAUGGAAUAAUGAAAUAGGACGGACUGAUUCUAUUCGUUGGUUUCUAGGAUCACCGUAAUGAUUAAUAGGGAUAGUUGGGGGCAUUAGUAUUCAAUUGUCUAGAGGUGAAAUUCUUGGAUUUAUUGAAGACUAACUACUGCGAAAGCAUUUGCCAAGGAUGUUUUCAUUAAUCAAGAACGAAAUUAGGGGAUCGAAGACGAUCAGAUACCGUCGUAGUCUUAACCAUAAACUAUGCCGACUAGGAGUCGGACGAAGUUAAUUUUAUAAAUG